rnacentral:rRNA from 1 species
GUGUCAGCAGCCGCGGUAAGACAGAGGAGCCAAGCGUUGUCCGGAUUGACUGGGCGUAAAGCGCACGCAGGCGGUCGCGCGCGUGGAGUGUGAAACCCCGCCGCUUAACGGCGGGCCGCCACUUCAUACGGCGCGACUGGAGCCGUGCAGAGGUCCGUGGAAUUGCCGGUGUAGUGGUGAAAUGCGUAGAGAUCGGCAGGAACACCCAGGGGGAAACCAGCGGACUGGGCACGUGCUGACGCUCAGGUGCGAAAGCGUGGGGAGCGAACCGGAUUAGAAACCCGAGUAGUCC